GUGCUCGCUUUGGCAACACAUAUACUACAACUGGAAUGAUACAGAGAAGAUUAGCAUGGCCCCUGUGCAAGGAGGACAUGCAAAUUAAAAAAAAAGUUUGUUU
rnacentral:snRNA from 1 species